CCCUUAGAUGUUCUGGGCCGCACGCGCGCUACACUGAAUGGAUCAACGUGUUUUCCCUUCCCGAGAGGGACGGGUAACCCGCUGAACCCCAUUCGUGGUAGGGAUCGGAGCUUGCAAUUGUUCUCCGUGAACCAGGAAUUCCCAGUAAGCGCAAGUCAUAAGCUUGCGUUGAUUACGUCCCUGCCCUUUGUACACACCGCCCGUCGCACCUACCGAUUGAAUGGUCCGGUGAAAUCUUCGGAUCUGAGAGAUGUCUGAUUAAUUUCGGACGCCUUUUGGAAAAGUUGCUUAAACCUUACCAUUUAGAGGAAGGUGAAGUCGUAACA
rnacentral:rRNA from 1 species